GCCAGAGUGGCGUAGUGGUUAGCGUAUCUGCCUAGUGAACAAGAGCCCCAGGUUCGAAUCCUGGCUUUGGUG